rnacentral:rRNA from 1 species
CUUAUAGAUGGAUCCGCGCCGUAUUAGCUAGUUGGUAAGGUAACGGCUUACCAAGGCAACGAUACGUAGCCGACCUGAGAGGGUGAUCGGCCACACUGGAACUGAGACACGGUCCAGACUCCUACGGGAGGCAGCAGUAGGGAAUCUUCCGCAAUGGGCGAAAGCCUGACGGAGCAACGCCGCGUGAGUGAUGAAGGUCUUCGGAUCGUAAAACUCUGUUAUCAGGGAAGAACAAAUGUGUAAGUAACUGUGCACAUCUUGACGGUACCUGAUCAGAAAGCCACGGCUAACUACGUGCCAGCAGCCGCGGUAAUACGUAGGUGGCAAGCGUUAUCCGGAAUUAUUGGGCGUAAAGCGCGCGUAGGCGGUUUUUUAAGUCUGAUGUGAAAGCCCACGGCUCAACCGUGGAGGGUCAUUGGAAACUGGAAAACUUGAGUGCAGAAGAGGAAAGUGGAAUUCCAUGUGUAGCGGUGAAAUGCGCAGAGAUAUGGAGGAACACCAGUGGCGAAGGCGACUUUCUGGUCUGUAACUGACGCUGAUGUGCGAAAGCGUGGGGAUCAAACAGGAUUAGAUACCCUGGUAGUCCACGCCGUAAACGAUGAGUGCUAAGUGUUAGGGGGUUUCCGCCCCUUAGUGCUGC